GAUGAACGCUGGCGGUCUGCUUAACACAUGCAAGUCGAACGGAAUCCUUCGGGAUUUAGUGGCGGACGGGUGAGUAACGCGUGAGAAUCUGCCUUCAGGUUCGGGACAACAGCUGGAAACGGCUGCUAAUACCGGAUGUGCCGAGAGGUGAAAGCUUUAGUGCCUGAAGAUGAGCUCGCGUCUGAUUAGCUAGUAGGAGUGGUAAUGGCACCCCUAGGCGACGAUCAGUAGCUGGUCUGAGAGGAUGAUCAGCCACACUGGGACUGAGACACGGCCCAGACUCCUACGGGAGGCAGCAGUGGGGAAUUUUCCGCAAUGGGCGCAAGCCUGACGGAGCAAGACCGCGUGAGGGAAGAAGGUCUGUGGAUUGUAAACCUCUUUUGAUGGGGAAGAAGACAGUGACGGUACCCACGAAUCAGCCUCGGCUAACUCCGUGCCAGCCGCCGCCGUAA
rnacentral:rRNA from 1 species